AUUGCUUCUUGGCCUUUUGGCUGAGAUCAGGUGUGGUAUCUGUUCUUAACAGCUUAAUAUCUAAUACAUUCUCCAUCCAAUAAUAUAUUACAUGGCUUUUUGGAGCAGGGAGAUGGAAUGGGAGCUUGCUCCAUCCACUUCACAAAUCAACCUGGUUUAAAAAAA
ensembl:snRNA U2 U2 spliceosomal RNA